rnacentral:rRNA from 1 species
CCUACGGGAGGCAGCAGUGAGGAAUAUUGGUCAAUGGACGAGAGUCUGAACCAGCCAAGUAGCGUGAAGGAUGACUGCCCUAUGGGUUGUAAACUUCUUUUAUAUGGGAAUAAAACGUUCCACGUGUGGGAUUUUGUAUGUACCAUAUGAAUAAGGAUCGGCUAACUCCGUGCCAGCAGCCGCGGUAAUAAGGAGGAUCCGAGCGUUAUCCGGAUUUAUUGGGGUUAAAGGGAGCGUAGGUGGAUUGGUAAGUCAGUUGUGAAAGUUUGCGGCUCAACCGUAAAAUUGCAGUUGAAACUGGCAGUCUUGAGUACAGUAGAGGUGUGCGGAAUUCGUGGUGUAGCGGUGAAAUGCUUAGAUAUCACGAAGAACUCCGAUUGCGAAGGCAGUUCACUGGACUGCAACUGACACUGAGGCUCGAAAGUGUGGGUAUCAAACAGGAUUAGAUACCCGAGUAGUC